AAACAAAUCGAAUAUUAUCUGAAAAUAUCCGCAUUCGUAUAGAAAAAAUUGGGAUAUGGUUGGAUAUGAAUAUAGAUAUAAUAUUAAAAAAGUCAAAAUUAUUCAAAUAUCUAACAAAAUGAAUAUGGAUAUGAAUAUCAAUACCCAAUUUUUUUUAAUAAUAUUAUAUUUUAUAUUAAUAAAUUAUGUAAAUUAUCAUCCACUAUCCUAUUCUCCUAAUCCCUAACUCCCAUAUCUCAUUCCUCUAUUUCAAUAUUGUUCUUUCAAAUUUUU
rnacentral:lncRNA from 1 species